rnacentral:rRNA from 1 species
GACGAACGCUGGCGGCGUUCCUAAUACAUGCAAGUCGAACGCAGUGGGGACGGGUGAGUAACCCGUGGGUAACCUCCCAUCAGAGGGGAUAACACUUGGACACAGGUGCUAAACCGAUAUUGAUGGCUGGACCCGCGGUGCAUUAGCUAGUUGGUGAGGUAACGGCUCACCAAGGCCACGAUGCAUAGCCGACCUGAGAGGGUGAUCGUCCACACUGGGAGUGAGACACGGCCCAGACUCCUAAGUGAGGCAGCAGUAGGGAAUCUUCGGCAAUGGACGAAAGUCUGACCGAGCAACGCCGCGUGAGUGAAGAAGGUGGUCGGAUCGUAAAACUCUGUUGUUAGAGAAGCGGUAUCUACCCAGAAAGCCACGGCUAACUACGUGCCAGCCGCCGCGGUAAUUC